rnacentral:tRNA from 1 species
CGCUGGCUCAGCUGGUAGACCAUUGGCUUGGUAUGCCGAAGUUUGCCGGUUUGAUUCCGGCUCGCGG